UACGUAGGUGGCAAGCGUUGUCCGGAUUUAUUGGGUUUAAAGGGUGCGUAGGCGGUUUUGUAAGUCAGUGGUGAAAUAUGUCAGCUUAACUGAGAGGGUGCCAUUGAUACUGCAGAACUUGAGUACAGAUGAGGUAGGCGGAAUUGACGGUGUAGCGGUGAAAUGCUUAGAUAUCGUCAAGAACACCUAUAGCGAAGGCAGCUUACUAGGCUGUAACUGACGCUGAGGCGCGAAAGCGUGGGGAGCAAACAGG
rnacentral:rRNA from 1 species